rnacentral:rRNA from 1 species
GACGAACGCUGGCGGCGUGCUUAACACAUGCAAGUCGAACGAAGUGGCGAACGGGUGAGUAAAGCGUAAUCAACCUGCCCUUCAGAGGGGGACAACAGUUGGAAACGACUGCUACUAACGCCUACUGAAGGAGGGGAUUGCGUCUGAUUAGCUAGUUGGAGGGGUAAAGGCCCACCAAGGCGAUGAUCAGUAACCGGUCUUAGAGGAUGAACGGCAACAUUGGGAAUGAGACACGGCCCAGACUCCUACGGGAUGCAGCAGUGGGGAAUCUUCCGCAAUGGACGAAAGUCUGACGGAGCAACGCCGGGUGAGUGAUGACGGCCUUCGGGUUGUAAAGCUCUGUUAAGCGGGACGCGGUACCGGAAUAGAAAGCCACGGCUAACUCCGUGCCAGCAGCCGCGGUAAUUC